ensembl:miRNA Mir344b-1 microRNA 344b-1
AGAGACCUGAUCAGUCAGGCUGCUGGUUAUAUUCCAGGACUUCUCUGGUCCUGGAUAUAACCAAAGCCCGACUGUUAAAUAAAAGUAAGAAUGUGUCU